UGGAGUCCCUCAGAUUGAAGUUACAUUUGACAUUGAUGCCAAUGGGAUUGUACAUGUUUCUGCUAAAGAUAAAGGUACAGGACGCGAGCAGCAGAUUGUGAUUCAGUCUUCUGGUGGAUUAAGCAAAGAUGAUAUUGAAAAUAUGGUUUAAAAUGCAGAGAAGUAUGCUGAGGAAGACCGGCAAAAGAAGGAACGAGUUGAAGCAGUUAAUAUGGCUGAAGGAAUCAUCCAUGAUACAGAGACCAAGAUGGAAGAAUUCAAGGACCAACUGCCUGCUGAUAAGGCAGGCGGCAUCUUCCCUUCAGCAAGCAUCAUUGAAGCUUUUCGAAAUGGCAUACACAAAGAUGGCAUCAGAGCGAGAAGGCUCUGGAAGCUCUGGCACUGGGGAGCAAAAGGACAAUCAAAAGGAGGAGAAACAGUAACAGCAGUAAACUUUGGAGUUGAAAGGACAACAUGCUUGGGAGUGAAGGGAUUUCCUGAGCUGAAACGGGCAAACUUCAGUCUUCUACUGUGUUUUUGCAGUAUUCUAUAUAUAAUUUCCUGACUGUGUAAAUUUAGUGACCAUUAGCUAAUGAUCAGUUCAUGAGUAACAAGUCCAGCAGUACAAAAUUCACAGUAUUCUGUCCCUAGCCUGUCAUUCUUUUUCAUUUCAGCUGCAUGUAAAGUUGGAAAGAUGAUUUAUUGAUCAUUCUAAAGAGGUAACAUUGUUUUGUGUUGAAGUAGUCUAUGGGGUCGCACAGAGUCAGACAUGACUGAAGCGACUUAGCAGCAGCAGCAGCCGUAUUUUCAAGGGGUGAAAUCUCACACAGUGAAGACAGUUGGGUCUGGAAUGAAACCACAAGGUGAUGAGAUCCUUCUAGUGACCUGAGUACUGCUGUACCAGCCUGUGUGUAUGUGGAAUUCCUCGACUGAGGCCUUGCAAAGCAAGCCAGCUGUGCCAUGUUGGGAGGAGGAGCAGGGAAAGCUAGAUCAAAAGAAAACUGAGCUAACUAUUUGUUAGAUCCAGCUUUUAAAACACAAGUCGCCCAAAUUUUCUGAAGGCAAACUUUCCUAGCUACCCUUUGGCCUUAUGUCUGGCACCUGUGUCCUUGAUGAGUGUUCUUUUUGAUCCAUUCUGGACUUUUUAAAAAAAAAUAAAUAGGAAAACCAUCUUGAAAAAAAAAAA
ensembl:lncRNA